UAGGUGUCCAUUCUGAUGCUGUGUGUAUCACUUUACUAGGUGUCCAUUCUGAUGCUGUGUGUAUCACUUUACUAGGUGUCCAUUCUGAUGCUGUGUGUAUCACUUUACUAGGUGUCCAUUCUGAUGCUGUGUGUAUCACUUUACUAGGUGUCCAUUCUGACGCUGUGUGUAUCACUUUACUAGGUGUCCAUUCUGACGCUGUGUGUAUCACUUUACUAGGUGUCCAUUCUGAUGCUGUGUGUAUCACCUUUAGCUCUUAUUUGACCUCAGCCUCAGGAGACUUCCUCCGCUCUGUCAUGUAGACUUUUACCCACUAUCUCAGCUAGAUAUCUCAGCUAGAUCUAAACUAGCUUGCCCAGACAA